UACGUAGGGGGCAAGCGUUGUCCGGAUUUAUUGGGCGUAAAGAGCGUGUAGGCGGCCAUGCAGGUCCGCUGUGAAAACUCGAGGCUCAACCUCGAGACGUCGGUGGAAACCGCAUGGCUAGAGUCCGGAAGAGGAGAGUGGAAUUCUCGGUGUAGCGGUGAAAUGCGUAGAUAUCGAGAGGAACACCUGCGGCGAAGGCGGGUUGCUGGGCUGACACUGACGCUGAGGCGCGAAAGCCAGGGGAGCGAACGGG
rnacentral:rRNA from 1 species